GCGGCGUGCCUAUACAUGCACGUCGAGCGAACCGACGGGAGCUUGCUCCCUUAGGUUAGCGGCGGACGGGUGAGUAACACGUGGGUAACCUGCCUGUAAGACUGGGAUAACUCCGGGAAACCGGGGCUAAUACCGGAUGCUUGAUUGAACCGCAUGGUUCAAUUAUAAAAGGUGGCUUUUAGCUACCACUUACAGAUGGACCCGCGGCGCAUUAGCUAGUUGGUGAGGUAACGGCUCACCAAGGCGACGAUGCGUAGCCGACCUGAGAGGGUGAUCGGCCACACUGGGACUGAGACACGGCCCAGACUCCUACGGGAGGCAGCAGUAGGGAAUCUUCCGCAAUGGACGAAAGUCUGACGGAGCAACGCCGCGUGAGUGAUGAAGGUUUUCGGAUCGUAAAACUCUGUUGUUAGGGAAGAACAAGUACCGUUCGAACAGGGCGGUGCCUUGACGGUACCUAACCAGAAAGCCACGGCUAACUACGUGCCAGCAGCCGCGGUAAUACGUAGGUGGCAAGCGUUGUCCGGAAUUAUUGGGCGUAAAGCGCGCGCAGGCGGUUUCUUAAGUCUGAUGUGAAAGCCCCCGGCUCAACCGGGGAGGGUCAUUGGAAACUGGGGAACUUGAGUGCAGAAGAGGAGAGUGGAAUUCCACGUGUAGCGGUGAAAUGCGUAGAGAUGUGGAGGAACACCAGUGGCGAAGGCGACUCUCUGGUCUGUAACUGACGCUGAGGCGCGAAAGCGUGGGGAGCGACAGGA
rnacentral:rRNA from 1 species